AUUGAACGCUAGCGGGAUGCUUUACACAUGCAAGUCGAACGAGUGGCGGACGGGUGAGUAAUAUAUCGGAACGUGCCCAGUAGCGGGGGAUAAAUUCUCGACAGAGUGUCUAAUACCGCAUACUAUUGGAGCGGCCGAUAGCGGAUUAGCUUGUUGGUGGGGUAAAGGCUCACCAAGGCAACGAUCCGUAGCUGGUUUGAGAGGAAGACCAGCCACACUGGGACUGAGAAACGGCCCAGACUCCGACGGGAGGCAGCAGUGGGGAAUUUGGGACAAUGGGGGAAACCCUGAUCCAGCCAUGCCGCGUGUGUGAGAAGGUCUUCGGAUUGUAAAGCACUUUAAGUUGGGAGGCGUUACCAACAGAAUAAGCACCGGCUAACUUCGUGCCAGCAGCCGCGGUAAUAC
rnacentral:rRNA from 1 species